rnacentral:lncRNA from 1 species
ACUGCAUCAUACCAGUAUACCAUCCAAACCAUGCGACUGAGACGUGAGAAUGAAGUUAGACGGCAACAAUGAUGAUAAGAGGAGAGGUUUGAUUAUGACAACAUCGAAUGUUUACAGGGUUGGAGCUUGUCUCUUAGACUUGUGACAAGCUCACAGCAAUUUCACCAUGAAGGAUGCUUCCAACGUCCAGACCAGCCACCACCAUCUCCCAACUGCCGACAGGGCAGUGAGGGGUUUCUACCAUCCAAACAUGAAAUGCCUAAUUAUGCGUAAAUAGGUUGGGACGGCCAUGGAAUUGAAAUUUAGCAAAUUGGUAUAUCGUUUUGCUACUUCCAUCAACUAAUUUACACAAAAGAGAUUGGCAUUGAACUACGGUGGAAAUCAUCAAAAUCACACUCUUUUAACAAUGUCAUGUACAAAACAUGAUCAAGCCAACAUCACUCGGCACUGCAACAACUAUCAACUCAAGCACUGAAACAAAUAAAGCUAUAUAUAAUCUAUCAUUUUAUUUGUCUCUAAAUAAAAAUAAUAAUAAUAAUAAGUAAAAUCAUAGAGAACCUUGGCUAGUCUUGGCAACAACCUUGCCAUCUUGAUUGAUCGUCACACCUCCUUGUCUAACAUCACCUUGCGCAGCAGCCGUUGUCACUGCCUGAUACGAGGGAGCCGCCCCUCCCGGUGUAGUGUAGUAAACCUGCCGCCCAGUGCUGUCAUAGGUAACCUGCGCAUAUCCUUGCUCAGUCACUCCAACACCGCUCGCUGAAGGCCGCAUCAUUCCCAUCCCUUCUCCAUACGCGCCUACUUUUUGCUGCUGAUGUGGUGGAGCGGCAUUGUAAACUUGCGGUUCCCGGUACACGUCAGAUACCACUCUCUGCAUUCCGUAGUAAGGCUGAGCUAGCUGUCCUGUCAUCGGUCGUAAACCAGGAGUUUGAUACACACCGGCAGAUGUAUGUAUUAGGUAAACGGAUUGCUCUGUUCCGGUUGAAGCAGCAACCGGGUAACCUCCCGUCGUCAUGUGCCUUUCUGGCCAGUAAGUAGCCGGAAUUGACACCGGCAUCUGCUGUGGCGCCGGUGCAAGUUUUUCUGGAAUCUUCUGUGCAUAGUAUUCUGCAGGAUAAGCCCGCGUGUUGCUUUCAUCGUUUUUUCUUUGGAACAUCGCCUGCUCUUGGCUGGCAAUCUGCAACCUCUGCAAUUCCUGGAUCUGCCUCUGGUAGUCCGCGGGGGACACCACUGGAUCUCCAACAACAUGGCGAUCCUCCGAUCCUGGAUCCGAUCUCACUGAAUAAUCCUUGGGAAGCACAUCUGGAACCGUGGGUGGAGGCGUUGGAUCCUGCAAUUUCACGGGGGGAGGCGGAGCGAGCCCUUUAUCCAACCCAAACAGAAAAUCCGGAUUGGUCUCGGAGGCCGCCGCCUGAGGUGAAGAACCUUCCAGAGGCUGGAUCUGCACAGAAUUCAGUGCGUCCACGAACCACUGCCGCUCCGAUUUGGUCUCGUUGGAACCGAAACUGGUGGAUGCAGGAGGGGUCAGCGGGAAGAG